UACGGGGGGGGCAAGCGUUGUUCGGAAUUACUGGGCGUAAAGGGCUCGUAGGCGGCCAACUAAGUCGGAUGUGAAAUCCCCAGGCUUAACCUGGGAACUGCAUCCGAUACUGGAUGGCUUGAAUCCGGGAGAGGGAUGCAGAAUUCCAGGUGUAGCGGUGAAAUGCGUAGAUAUCUGGAGGAACACCGGUGGCGAAGGCGGGUCUCUGGGCCGUAACUGACGCUGAGGAGCGAAAGCGUGGGGAGCGAACAGG
rnacentral:rRNA from 1 species